AACCUACAGAAUGGCUCUUUGUAUCAUUCAACUUGAAGAAAAUAAGUGAUGUACAAUCCUGCAUAUUUUCAUUUUUUUGUUUAACAACAGCUACGUGGUGAUUGACAUACUGAAUUACUGUUAAUAAGGUGUGCUAUUCAUGAACUAAAACUAAAACGAGGACUAACUCAGCAUCCUACUGAGAUGUCCGCUGCUGAGCAACAGUUCAAGGCUCUCCAGCACGUGACGGGGACAGCCGGAGGGAAGCACCUCAGAGAGUGCUCUCUGACCCUGCAUGGACUGUGCCACCCAAAUGUUGCUGGCUUUGCCUUUUGAUUUCGGAUCAUUAUCAUUUAGCUUCAUCACCAUCCAUUUAGUGAUUUUAGUUAACGCUACGAUACUAGUUUGCAACAAGUCUUACGAACUUUAAACUAUAUGUGUGCUGCACAUCUAAUAUAAUACAAAUCACCUACACUCCUACUAAAGCAGACAUUAAUGUAACAUCUAAAUAGUUGGCUCUCACAGACACUUCUGUGAUGUGCUGCUCGUGAACUUGUGCUGGUUAUGUGUAAGUUUACAGGGUACCAUUUUACAAUACAAAAUCACCUCAUAAGCUCAUUUCUCUCCUAUAAAGAAAAAUAACUUCAUGAAUGUUGCUAGCAACAAAUUUACUGUUAGGUUCCUCUCUACUUCUUAGUGACUACUAACUUAAUCUUCACUGCACGAGGUAUGUGUCUCCUGCCCCAACGUCACGAGCAUUUUAGAGUUGGUGCCUUAAGUGUUGGGUUCCUCAGAGUUCUGUCCAAGGCUUCUCUCAUUACACUACAGAUGAUCCCGUGUGCUCCCAUGACUGAAGCUUCCAAGUGCCACUGAGGACACCCAAAUCUGUCUCUCCCCAGGCCUCUUUCCUGGGCCUCAGAUACUAUCCAUCCACCUGCUGGACACCAACUUGUGCCUGUCCCCCUGACAGUCAUCCAGAACGUCCCAAAUUGAGCCUAUCUUCCCACUCAAACCUGCCUUCCUCCCACAUCCAAGAUCUCACCGGAAGGCACCACAAGUCAAAACCUGGGAUCUGCCUUCACCCUUUCCUUGGCGCACGUCCAGUCAACGGCACCACCACCCCCCCAACUGACAGCUCGCGCAGCGCACGGCCUCUUCAUUCCUCUCCAGGCUUUCAUGUGGCCCUCUUCGAUCUAUUCUUCGGAUACAAACCCACACUCCUCCCAGGAUAAAGUCUCAGCUCCUUAAAAUGAUAAAGAAAGUCUGACGUAAUUCAAGUGUCAGCCCUUGUGUCUUCCUGACCUGGCUUUCUGCACCCUAGCCCUACCGAACGCCUUCAAGUUCAAACACAACGUGCCUUCUCCGGUCCAUAAAGUUAUCCCCUUCACUCUGAGAUCCUUCCCCACAUCCCUCCUUGACUGGCUGACUUCUGUUUACUCCAUAGCCUUUCCGCUGGGACAGGAAAGAGUCCGUGGCUGGAUGUGGGCACCCUCCCAUACCCUUGCCCCAGCUGAGCCUUUACUCUGCUGUAUUUCCAGACCUGAAUCCACCACCACACUGUAAAUAACUUGAGGACCAAAAGAAUAUGUCUUCCUCACUAUGCCACCCACACAGCAAGAGAUCUCUAAAUAUUUAAGUGUAUAGAGACACACUGUGUUACAUCACUUAGCAUUCUGACAGCUCUCCUAAAAGAAGCGGGAAAUACCAUUUGUGAGUACCUGCCGUCAGCAGGUCUAUUUGAGUAUACUCCUGUUUUUUUUUUUUUUUUUUUUAAAUAAAUCCUGGUUCCUAAGGAUUCACUGAGACUACGAGAUUUCAUUUGUGUACUGAUUUAAAAAAAAAUCUUAUGUUAACAGCCAAAUUACAAUAAAGCUAAACAUAAAACUUACAUCAAGUUGAAUAAACUGCAAAAAGUCUCCAAUCAGCUCCUUAGACACUGCUUGUACAAAUGUCUCUCGUUUUUCCAUGACAGAUGAAACUGCUUUUCAUAUGGCAUUUAUUCUGUAACCCUAAG